rnacentral:rRNA from 1 species
UUCGUAGGUGGCCUACUAAGUCAUACGUGAAAUCCCUCAGCUUAACUGGGGAACUGCGUCUGAUACUGGAAGGCUUGAGUACAGGAGAGGAACGCGGAAUUCCAGGUGUAGCGGUGAAAUGCGUAGAUAUCUGGAGGAACACCGGUGGCGAAGGCGGCGUUCUGGACUGCAACUGACACUGAGGAACGAAAGCCAGGGAGGCAAACG